GACGGAGGAUGCAAGUGUUAUCAGGAAUCACUGGGCGUAAAGCGUCUGUAGGUGGUCAAAUAAGUCAACUGUUAAAUCUUGAGGCUCAACCUCAAAAUCGCAGUCGAAACUAUUAGACUAGAGUAUAGUAGGGGUAAAGGGAAUUUCUAGUGGAUCGGUGAAAUGCGUAGAGAUUGGAAAGAACACCGAUGGCGAAUGCACUUUACUGGGCUAUUACUAACACUGAGAGAAGAAAGCUAGGGUAGCAAAUGGG
rnacentral:rRNA from 1 species